GCCGCCGUAGCUCAGCGGGUAAGAGCGCCGGACUCAUACGGCCCCUAACACCGAAGUCGAGGGGGCCUGGGGGAUCCGGAGGUCCCGGGUUCAAACCCCGGCGGCGGCACCA
rnacentral:tRNA from 3 species